rnacentral:miRNA from 1 species
ACUCAGGCUCCUGGCUAAUGUCCAGUGCUUAGCUGCAUUUAGCCAAAGCCUGAUUAUAA